AACAUUUUAUAAGUUGGGCCGAGCUUGAUGGAAGGGGGAAAACAAGCCUAAAGUAGGGCCUAAAUGGAUGGCUUACCUCACUAACUUGUGCUAUUUCUAUGACAAUAGAGGUCAGAGGAGGAGCAAGGAAAUCGAUAAUAAAAACAGAAUUAGAUUGAAUUUCCCCCAUCAAAGGAUAUUCAUCUCAAAACUAUUACACAUAGAUAAUGGGUAAACAAAAGCAGAAACAGAAAGAAACUAAAAUAAGAUUAAAAAAAUCAAGGUCCAGUCAUGUGUUGAGUAUAGAUGUAGUCUGUAUGUUCAGCCAUAAACCUCCUAAUCAAGCACUCUUCUUCACUUUCUAAUCCAGAACAAUAUCCAUCAUCACUGAUGCCUGAUUCCUCAGGAGAUGAAGCGGGGUGGGUGUUGGCUGAUAUGGGUCUGCUGGCUUCUGCAGUUGAGAGUAAAAGAAAUACCAAUAUGAAGAAAGAGAUGCUCUUUCCCAUUUUUCUUGAAGCUAAGGACUUGAGAAUAUAGACAAAGUUGUGGGAGAAGAGGCUUAUAUUGUUCUAGGCAUUGAGAAGUGAGACUGUCUUUGGCAUUGGGAUGGAGAAAGGAUCAAUGAAUGAGCAUUGAAAUCAAGUACCCAAAAGUCAAAGCAAAGGCCAGUACUAACUUGGGGCCUGGGGGUCAAUAGGGCAAGA
rnacentral:misc_RNA from 1 species